UUAAGUAAAACUAAAAUCUGGGAAAGCUGGCAAAUGUUCUCUCAAAAUGAGUCGCAGCUUGUCAGCUGUCCAGGAGCUGCUGGCCCCCUCUGAGUCCUUGGAGCCGGGGAGAGGGGGUUGGUACUGCCUGGUGUUCUCCAGAGCAUCCUCUUGGGGGCACUCAGGGACAGCGCUUGGCCUCCCUUGUCUCCCCCCCAGGAAUUCUGGCUUCCCUUAACUCGGAGCCCAAAGCACCUGGGUUCCCGGGGCCUCUCCCUCAAUCUCCAGGGAGCACCGAAGCCCUGAGCAGAGCCACUGCCGCCCGCCGAGGGACUGUGCUGAGCCCGCAGUGGUGGCAAGGCUGCGCCCACUCGUUGUUUGCCCGAGAGAGUUAGCGGCGGUCUCGGUGGCGGCUCCUGUCGCACCGCUGUCUUUACUUUCUGUUCCAUGGCUAAUGGUGUUCCUUUCAUCCCUGGACAUCUGUCGGUGCUGAUGAAGUGAGCUGGCUGGAGAAAGGGCUGGACUUUGCUCACUCCUGGGAAAAACAAUCAUCUGAGGGAGAAAUCAAAUGCCUGAUGGAAACAGAUCAAACGGCACCGAAAAAAUAAUUGGAGCUGCAGACGCACCCUGGGUUGCAAUUUAGGGAGCACUUUGCAGAAGACGUGAUGCCAGAAAGUAGCCCGACUUCCAGUGCUUGUGGAAUCUUCUGGAAGGAGGUGCAAACCAACUGGCCUCUGUGUCCCUGUCGCUGCUGUGGCACAGCCGUCCUGCAAGGCGAGGCUGAGGGCAUGUAGCCUGCUAGCCCAGGGGACUCGGGGAGAGUGGGAGCCAGAGCUUAAUGCUCUCUGUCCUCAGGGGCCGUGGCAGCCAGCAGGGCCGUGAGGGGCGCAGCCAUUAGUCCUUCAUUUCAGUCCCUGGGUCCGUGGGUCCAAGAACCUCGCCCUCCAGUGAAAUGGAGCCUGCAUCUGACUUCUUGAAAGUAGCGGGUCCUCACCCCUGCCCCUCCUCUGUCUCCCUGGGACUUUCCUCCACCUCGGCACUUUCACGCCCCUCCCUUCUGUUGUGGGUGAAACUCUUCACUCAGUCCUGACACAGGGCUGCAGGUUUCUAGGUGAUUCUGAGGCCCAUGGAGGGAAACAGCAAUCUCCUAUCUUUGGUGUGAGAUUACGGGAGAGGCAAUGAACUGCUAGUUCCACUGAACACUUAAUGAGCUGAUUAGAAUUUGGGUGACCCAAAUAGCUUGUAAAAAUGUUUUUUUUUUUUUUUUUGGAUUGGAUUAGGUAACAUUACAUUUAUAAUGAUCUGGAACUUUGGCGUGCAUAAGCCUAUAAUGCUGAGGAAACCUAUUAUGGUUUGGCUGUGAGGUGUCCCUCCAAAACGCUCAUGUUAAUGCAGGAAUAUUCAAAGGUGAAAUGACGGGCUGUGGGAGCUAUAACCUAAUCAGUCCAAGCUAGUUUGAAGGGUCUGAGAGGUAACUGUGGGCAGGUGGGAUGUGGCUAGAGAAGGGGGUCACUGGAGGUGUACCCUAGAAGGCUGCAUCUUCCCUGUGGCCCCUUCCGCCCUUCCCUCUCUCUGUGCUUCCUGACCCCACCGUGAGCUGACAUCUGUCCUCCCCUGGACCUUUCUACCAUGCUGUGCUGCCUCACCCUGGGCCCAGAGCAGCGGAGUCAGUCAUGCAUGGGCUGAGACCCCUGAAACUGUGAGCCCCGAAUAAAAUUUUCCUCCUCUAA